rnacentral:rRNA from 1 species
UACGUCCCAGUUCAGAUUGCAGUCUGCAACUCGACUGCAUGAAGUCGGAAUCGCUAGUAAUCGCGGAUCAGCAUGCCGCGGUGAAUACGUUCCCGGGCCUUGUACACACCGCCCGUCACACCAUGAGAGUCGGGAACACCCGAAGUCCGUAGCCUAACCGCAAGGGGGCGCGGCCGAAGGUGGGUUCGAUAAUUGGGGUGAAGUCGUAACAAGGUAUC